GCAAGUGCAGAUAGUGCAGCACUGCUGUUCCACUGCCAGGAUUCGAUCAUGCUUGCCACAGGAUCAGAGCCACUGCUCCACUGCAUAGAGAGAAGCAAAAUCCACAACACCAAAUGAAUACAUCUUCUGCCAUGGGAGGAUUCUACACUGUCUAGCCUCCUCUAGGUGCGCCAUUUUCCAUCUCCUCCCACAGUCCACAGACAAGCUGGUGGGUUAAUCGGCUUCUGGGAUCAUUGACCCUGAUAAUCCAGAGGACUCCACGUGCCAGUGAACAAAGUGCCACUCGUCCAUUCUACUCCAACUCUCCUGCGAGGCGCUGUGUACUGUGCAGAAUGUCAAAUGAUGAUAGGCAUGUGCAAGAGACUCAAACCAAUUGGAGACUUCAAAUUGGGUGAGUAUUAAAAUAGAACACAAAAGAAAGGACAAUUGUUCUGACAUCUAAUUCAAAUUAUACUGAAUAUUUUGUUACAUAGCUUUAAAUAUUAACACCAACGGCCCUUGGCUUUGUUGCUAUGAAGGUGCCGUGAUGUUUGUUUUCUUUGUCAGAUCCAAUUAUGCCAGAUACCCAAGAGAGUACUUCCAAUUCCAAAGUUUGUCUUCACUGGUUUGUCUUUGUUCAAACUUUGUCUCCUAGUGUGGCGUCAC